rnacentral:misc_RNA from 1 species
UCCGGCUUAUCACCGGCAGUCCCACUAGAGUGCCCAACUGAAUGAUGGCAACUAAUGGCGAGGGUUGCGCUCGUUGCGGGACUUAACCCAACAUCUCACGACACGAGCUGACGACAGCCAUGCAGCACCUGUGUCCCGACCUAUUGCUAGGAAGAAUCCAUCUCUGGAAACCGUCCGGGCAUGUCAAGGGCUGGUAAGGUGGGGAUGACGUUAGUGACCU